ACUUUCCUGUGUGGGUGGGCCCUGGGAAGGAAAGCUGACGGCACCCUCAUUCUCGACAGGUGAUGUCCUGCUUGGUGACACAUCCUGUCUGCUGGUUUCUUCCCUCUCCAGGCUCUGGGAUGAGUGAAGCUGAGAGCAGGGCCACCUACUGCCCCUGGCUGCUCCCUCCACUCUAUGUAACAUCAUAGAACGUCUGUGAAUUGGACUUGGAUGUGUCUCUUCUGGACAAGGUUUGGGAAAAAGACAGAGAUUCUUGAGAAGCCAAGAUGUUUGCAGCAAGGAACAUAUCUGAGUGACAGUCUUGAGAAGUAUAUCCGUGGCACAGUUUUGCAGGAGCAGUCUGGUGGCCCAGCCUCGAUUCUGAUUCUGCUGCUCCUGUUGAAUAUCAGGACUGAGGACAGCAGACUCAAGGGAGUUGUUCAUGGAGGCUUCCCCAUGCUGAGAGAAGUGUGGAUGUUCUGUCUUCAUGGGAGCAUGUGUCUCUCCAAGAAUGUCUAAAACAAGGUUGCCAGAAAAUCUCAAACUAUAGACUUUCACAGGGAUCUCACUCUCCUGGAUCUGCUGUGCCUUCCUCCCUAUCAGGACUCCUAAGACUGCUGGAUGCUUUCUGCUGAGGCUCAACUCUCUUUCUGACUCAGGUUUCACUCUUGGAUCAUUCACUGGAGGAUUGGCUGAGAUCAGGUACAGAUCUUUUAGGAUCCUCCCCACACUCUGCCCUACAU
ensembl:lncRNA